rnacentral:tRNA from 1 species
UAGCUCAGUUGGUUGAGCAUGGUGCUGAUAACACCAAGGUCGCGGGUUCGAUCCCUGU